UACGGGGGGGGCAAGCGUUGUUCGGAAUUACUGGGCGUAAAGGGUUCGUAGGUGGCUUGCUAAGUCACACGUGAAAUCCCUCAGCUUAACUGGGGAACUGCGUGUGAUACUGGCGAGCUUGAGUGCAGGAGAGGAACGCGGAAUUCCAGGUGUAGCGGUGAAAUGCGUAGAUAUCUGGAGGAACACCGGUGGCGAAGGCGGCGUUCUGGACUGCAACUGACACUGAGAAACGAAAGCCAGGGUAGCAAACGGG
rnacentral:rRNA from 1 species